AAUAUUGCGCAAUGGGGGAAACCCUGACGCAGCGACGCCGCGUGAACGAUGAAGGCCUUCGGGUCGUAAAGUUCUGUCCUCAGGGAAGAAUGUGGUCAUUUAUGACGCCUUGACGGUACCUGAGGAGGAAGCCCCGGCUAACGACGUGCCCGCAGCCGCGGUAAUACGGAGGGUGCGAGCGUUGUUCGGAAUUACUGGGCGUAAAGCGCGCGCAGGCGGAUGUGCAAGUCGAAGGUGAAAUCCCGGGGCUCAACCCUGGGACUGCUCUCGGUACUGCAUGUCUAGGGACCGGUAGAGGUCGGUGGAAUUCCCGGUGUAGCGGUGGAAUGCGUAGAUAUCGGGAGGAACACCUGUGGCGAAGGCGGCCGACUGGGCCGGAUCCGACGCUGAGGCGCGAAAGCGUGGGGAGCAAAC
rnacentral:rRNA from 1 species